GCUGGGUGUGGUGGCUCACACCUGUAAUCCCAGCAUUUUGGGAGGCUGAGGCAGGAGGAUCACUCGAGCCCAGGAGUUUAAGACCAGCCUGGGCAACAAAGUGAAACCCUGUCUCAA
rnacentral:SRP_RNA from 1 species